rnacentral:rRNA from 1 species
CUGAUAACCGAAGCUGCGGAUGGGCGCGUAAGCGUCCGUGGUAGGGGAGCGUUCUGUAGGUCUGUGAAGGUGUCUCGUAAGGGAUGCUGGAGAUAUCAGAAGUGCGAAUGCUGACAUGAGUAGCGAUAAAGCGGGUGAAAAGCCCGCUCGCCGAAAGCCCAAGGUUUCCUACGCAACGUUCAUCGGCGUAGGGUGAGUCGGCCCCUAAGGCGAGGCUGAAAAGCGUAGUCGAUGGGAAACGGGUUAAAAUUCCCGUACUUUUGUGCAGUGCGAUGUGGGGACGGAGAAGGUUAGGUCAGCAGACUGUUGGAAUAGUCUGUUCAAGCCGGUAGGCGUGAAGAGUAGGCAAAUCCGCUCUUCUUUAACGCCGAGACGUGAUAACGAGGGUCUACGGACCUGAAGUGACUGAUACCACGCUUCCAGGAAAAGCCACUAAGCUUCAGCUGCACAAGAACCGUACCGCAAACCGACACAGGUGGGCAGGAUGAGAAUUCUAAGGCGCUUGA